GCACACACAGCACCUACAUACAGCACACACAGCCCACAAACAGCACCCACACACAUACAUCACCCUCGCACACACAGCACCCACACACAUACAACACCCACACACACCCAGCACACUAACAGCAUCCUCACAAACCCACAAAACCCACACAAAACACCCGCACAGCACCCACACACAAACAGCACACUCACACACAAACAGCACCCUGACAAACACACAACACCCACAAACAGCACACAAACAGCACACUAACAGGACCCAGACAAACACGCACACAAACACCCUCUC